rnacentral:lncRNA from 1 species
UCAUAGUUCUUAAAUUUUAAUUUAGGAAAAACUUCAAAUACCACCCCUUAUGGUUUCGUAUUUUCUCACUUUAGUACCCUAUGGUUUAAAGUGUAUUACUUUCGUACGUUGUGGUUUUAUUUUUCUCUUUUUGUUAUCUCCUCCACUAAUUUUUUUUUUUUUUUGUUAAAUCAAUGACUAUAUUAAAACUAAAAGAUACUAAAGUGAAUAUUUGAUAAAUUUAGAUGGGAUAUCUAAAUUUUUUUGCAUAUAAUUUAACAAAAUGUUAAUUGAAGAACUGAGAAAAGAAAAAAAUAAAACCAUAAGGUACUAAAGUGAGAAAGUGCGAAACUACAGAGAUGAUAUUUGAAGUUUAUCCUUUAAUCUAUUAUAAUUUUUGGUUUGUAGAAUUAUUAUAUUUGUUUUACAAUUCUAUUUAAUCAAAAAUAACUAAAUUAUUGUUUAUACAUAAAUUAUAAUAAUAUAAUAAUAAAAUUAUAAAGUAAAAAAAAUAUAAAUACUCAACUAAUCAAUUUUCAUCAUAUUUUAGAUAUACAAACUAAAUGAAGAAAAUAAUAAAACUUAACUAAUCAAAUCUUAUCAUAGUUUAAAUAUGCAAACUAAAUAAAAGAGUAAUUAGUGCCAUAAUUAAAUAUAUUUAAAUAUAACUAGCAUUACUCAUUAUAUUAUUUUAUUUUUCACCGUAAUUGACUUCGGCUUGGGAUGAGUUGAAGUCAAUCCCAAGCUGAAGUCAAUUACGUUGUUUCGGUUAACUCGAGUUUUGACUGUAUCUUUAUUUAAAUAUAUAUCCGUAAUAAACAAUGUAAGUGAUCGUUUACGACCGACAAUGACUUCAUCCCUCUCCACUUUCACCAAAACAAAUAGGCCCUAAAUAUUUGAUUAAUCGCUGAGGUAGAGGUAACGCAAUAUUUUGAUUAUUGUCGCAUCAUCAGUAACAACAAUACUAACUAUGUCGCUUCCACAUUAGUAACACAUUAAUAUUUAGUCAACUAAUUGGGUUAUGGGAUGUGAUUGCAAUAAUUUAGAAAAUUCGAUAAACCGGUAAUAAUUAAGUUAAAACCACAAGGUAUUAA